GCUGUGUAGCAGUAUGAUGUGAUAGAAACUGAAAGCGUGGAUGUGGUAGAAGAAGCUUUCAUUUAAACACAAAUAUCUUUGAUUCUUUGGAAAACCAUCAGAGAAAAAGAGGACAAUAUAUCAGAGGACAUGCCGUAAAAAAUAAGUCACCAGUCUAACACAGGCAUUUGAUAUGCCUGUCCACAGUGCUACAUGUACCAUAAGAAGGUUCAAGCACUCUCUGAGAAGGAUAACUUGUGAGUUCCUCCUUCUACUGACAUAUUUGGAUCCC